rnacentral:rRNA from 1 species
UACAGAGGGUGCGAGCGUUGUCCGGAAUCACUGGGCGUAAAGGGCGCGUAGGUGGUGGCUUAAGCGUGCGGUGAAAGCUCGGGGCUCAACUCCGAGUCGGCCGUGCGAACUGGGCUCACUGGAGCAUAGUAGAGGCAGGUGGAAUUCCCGGUGUAGUGGUGGAAUGCGUAGAUAUCGGGAGGAACACCAGUGGCGAAGGCGGUUGCCUGGGGCUUUUGCUGACGCUGAGGCGCGAAAAGCGUGGGGGAGCAAACAGGG